UACGGAGGGUGCAAGCGUUAUCCGGAUUUACUGGGUUUAAAGGGUGUGUAGGCGGGGCUUUAAGUCCGUGGUGAAAUCUCCGAGCUCAACUUGGAAACUGCCAUUGAUACUAUUGAUCUUGAAUUCUGUUGAGGUGGGCGGAAUAUGUCAUGUAGCGGUGAAAUGCAUAGAUAUGACAUAGAACACCAAUUGCGAAGGCAGCUCACUAAGCAGAUAUUGACGCUGAGGCACGAAAGCGUGGGGAUCAAACAGG
rnacentral:rRNA from 1 species